rnacentral:ncRNA from 1 species
UUAAAUACAAUGAAGAGAAGUAGUAAGAUAUUUAUAUGGCUUUACAGAGAAAAGGUAGUGGUGAGAACCUUUAAGUACAAAAUAUUUGAAGCAGUCUUGGAGUAGCAAUUCGGAGUUUAGUAUGAAUUGCCGGUAGUUACGUUAUAGCUAAGGUUUUCCGAAGAUACCACUUUUAUAGUGGUAAUUAGGGUGGUACCGCGAAUAUACCUCGCCCCUAUA